rnacentral:sRNA from 1 species
CCGUGCGCCCGGUCGGGGCCCGGCAACCGGGCGCCGGACAGGUGUCUGGCGUUCCCUUGUGAUCCAUGUUGCUCAACUGGAGGAUAUGGCAAUGAGGA